UUGUUGCUUGUUCUCAGUUACACAUGAAUGGGUAAAAUGGCAUCUUUCACAGUAUUUCUGCCAUCCUUUUACUUGUUUUGGAUCAUCACUCCUUACUUCCUGUUUGCAUUCACUCAUGUCCAUGGACUCCCGAAACCUGAGCUGUUUGUAUCCUCCUCAGUAAUUUUGCCGACAACCACAGUCCAUCUGAGUUGUGUAGUCCCUCAGGAUCCAGUAGAUCAGUGUAUUUUCAUGGUGGGAAAGACAUACACCACCUCUACAUCAUCAUGCGAGCUGACCCUCACAGGAGAACAAAUUAUAGUCCGGGGACAUGUAAACCCACCUUCAGUGCUUCCAGUGAAAUGUUUCUACACUGUAAAAGGGUCUGGUGUUAAUCGUCCCUCUGAUCACUCUUCUCCUGUUUCGGUGCUUGUGCUGGAUAAUUUGCAGAAACCCAAGGUAAGCGUGCAUCAUGACCGAACAAAUAAGCUGUUCGACAUUGUUUGUGAAAUACCCAAGCAGUCCUGGAAUGUCACUGGAUGCCAGUUUUAUACUGGACAUGGGGAGAACUUGUACCCGACAGCUAAAAUAGCAUCUGGAAACUGCCAUUUGUAUUCUGUGGACGAGGAUGAUUUAUUCAGACGUCUGCAGUCAGUGGGGAGCGGAGAGGUGAGCUGUGAUUAUAUAGUGAACACAGAACCUUCAUCUCUCUCUCCACGCAGUGACCCUUACACCAUUCAAGGUCAGUAUGCUCAAAAUAUUAUUAAUGUAUUAUUAAAUACAUACUAUUGACAUGACUCCUUAUGUCUGUCUGAUGUCUGUUUUAACAAGUUUUGUAUUGUUGGUCUUGGCAGUUUUGUAAAACAAAAAUGACUUUUAAAAAUAGUGAAUCAGAGACUAUCCUGCAUCCUGCAUUUAUUGUGCAUUUAAAGUAUUUCUUGUUACAGGAUACCAGCCCCCGACCAAAAAUACUCCUUUAAGACCAUCAGAAGCAGGUAAGUCAUUUUUGCAACACUCCUGGGUAGACAGCAGUAAUAGCUUGUUCUUCGAAUCACUUUGGACUCCUCAUUAGAUUCAAAAUUCAUCGAUCAGAUUCAAUACAUCUCAAAGAACUAUCCCAAAGGUCCUCAAAGAACUAUCCUAAAGGUCCUCAAAGAACUAUCCCAAAGGUCCUCAAAGAACUAUCCCAAAGGUCCUCAAAGAACUAUCCUAAGGAUGCUACAACAGUUGAUAAAUUCGAAGUUCAAAGAUAUAGUAUUAUUGUGCAUUGAUGAGUGCAUAAGUGAUGCUAUAUCUUACUGGUCACUUAAAGUGAUGCUUGUAUGUACAUUAUGUGUAUGUCAACUGCACAGAACAAUACUGUUGAAAAAACAUUGGUCUGUUUUCAACAAAUUAUUUUCUCACACACUGACCCCCUCUACAGGUAAAGUCUCUGAGCAUGGUUCACCAGAUUCACAUGUCUGUUUAUGUGACUACCACAGCUAAAACUAAAUUUCACACAGGAAAAGUGGGUAACAAUUUAUAGUAACAGGCCACAAUAAAUGGCAAAAUAACCGUUACCA
rnacentral:lncRNA from 1 species